GAAGAGUUUGAUCAUGGCUCAGAUUGAACGCUGGCGGCAGGCCUAACACAUGCAAGUCGAACGGUAACAGGAAGCAGCUUGCUGCUUUGCUGACGAGUGGCGGACGGGUGAGUAAUGUCUGGGAAACUGCCUGAUGGAGGGGGAUAACUACUGGAAACGGUGGCUAAUACCGCAUAACGUCGCAAGACCAAAGAGGGGGACCUUCGGGCCUCUUGCCAUCAGAUGUGCCCAGAUGGGAUUAGCUUGUUGGUGAGGUAACGGCUCACCAAGGCGACGAUCCCUAGCUGGUCUGAGAGGAUGACCAGCCACACUGGAACUGAGACACGGUCCAGACUCCUACGGGAGGCAGCAGUGGGGAAUAUUGCACAAUGGGCGCAAGCCUGAUGCAGCCAUGCCGCGUGUAUGAAGAAGGCCUUCGGGUUGUAAAGUACUUUCAGCGGGGAGGAAGGUGUUGUGGUUAAUAACCGCAGCAAUUGACGUUACCCGCAGAAGAAGCACCGGCUAACUCCGUGCCAGCAGCCGCGGUAAUACGGAGGGUGCAAGCGUUAAUCGGAAUUACUGGGCGUAAAGCGCACGCAGGCGGUCUGUCAAGUCGGAUGUGAAAUCCCCGGGCUCAACCUGGGAACUGCAUUCGAAACUGGCAGGCUUGAGUCUUGUAGAG
rnacentral:rRNA from 1 species